rnacentral:tRNA from 1 species
GCCGGAGUAGCUCAAUUGGCAGAGCAACUGACUUGUAAUCAGUAGGUUGAGGGUUCAAUUCCUUUCUCCGGCACCA